AGCUGAUGCGUUGGGCAGUGAUUCUUCACUGCUGCAGCAGCUGUUCCCCUCUGGAGGUUUUACCUUCACACCUAUAAAGGGCCCCUUUUGGAGGCCCUUCUUUUU
rnacentral:sRNA from 1 species